rnacentral:rRNA from 1 species
CGUGUAGGUGGGGUGGUAAGUUAGGGGUGAAAACUUGCAGCUUAACUGUAAGCGUGCCUUUAAUACUGCCACUCUUGAGUGCGACAGAGGGAAGCGGAAUUCUUGGUGUAGCGGUGAAAUGCGUAGAUAUCAAGAAGAACACCGGUAGCGUAGGCGGCUUCCUGGUUCGUAACUGACACUGAGGCGCGAAAGCGUGGGGAGCAAACA